CAUUAAGGACCUAUGUUGGUUUUUGUAUUCUACUUCUUGGGAUGUCAAGAAUGCUUAGUAAAAUUCACAUCCUAUUCUCUCCUUGGCAGCUAGAACACCCGUUUAAGAUUUUUCUUGGAGCAGUUAAUGUGCCCUAUUUUGAGGUUUAUUUGCUCCAUUUUAAAGAUAUUUGAUGAAGAAAAUUUGAAAGGAUGAGUAGUCAAGUCAUAUAGAGAAUUAUAUCUCUAUCGAAAAUGAUGCAUCGAGCAAGACAUUGAUGGAAUAAUAUUAUGCUGUAGACAAGAUCAACAGA
rnacentral:lncRNA from 1 species